AGGACGAACGCUGGCGGCGUGCUUAACACAUGCAAGUCGAGCGAGGCCCUUCCUUCGGGAAGGUGCCCUAGCGGCGAACGGGUGAGUAACACGUGGGCAACCUGCCCCUAGCACUGGGAUAACUCCGGGAAACCGGGGCUAAUACCGGAUAUGACCAUCGAGGGCAUCCUCGUUGGUGUAAAGGAUUCUGGCUAGGGAUGGGCCCGCGGCCUAUCAGCUUGUUGGUGGGGUAACGGCCUACCAAGGCGACGACGGGUA
rnacentral:rRNA from 1 species